CUUUGAGACGAGAUCUUUCUCAUUUUCAUAUUUUGUAGGUGGAAGAAGGCUGUCCCAGAGGCUUGUUUUCAUGUAACUCCAAGGUUCCCCACAGUAAAGCUGGGGGCCAGGCUUAAGCCAUGCAAGAUAACUGGGUUCAGACCUCUUUAUAUACAGUCUAUGGUUCAGACAAUGUUUCUCUGAGACAUUUAAGUACUUCUCUUUUGUUUGCCGUAAACCAUAUUAUAUUGUAUGGCAUCAAGAUGUAAUUAUCUGUAGAAAUGUCAGUCUGUGAAUGUAACAAAUGGUUUCAUUUGAGGUUUAAUUGAUGGGUGCAGAAUGGCCCUGAAACACGAUAUUUCCUUUGAUUACUAUCCUACCUCAUUACCUCUACCUUCACUGUGGCUCUUCAUAUUGUAGGCAUGGACAAGGCUAUUCUUAAUUCUUGGUUAUUUACCCAAAUUUGUAAAAGACUAUGGUUUAUCUUUUCUACUUUGUAUUUGUAUUUUGGUUUUCUUACAUGAUGCCCAUGGGUGAUCAUGACCAUCUCAUUGCUGAAUAUUAGUUGUGAAACCUUAUUGUUGUUUCUAUCUUGGCAUAGAAAUUGUGUUAUCUCCCUGCUAAAAUUUGUAGAAUCAACAAAAUGCAUUCUGUCCACUUUACUCUUUGGAUUGACUAAAUGAAAAUAAUGAAGUUAAUCUGGGUAACUUUACAGCUUUAACUGUAACUGGUGAGAUUACUCGUCUCUCAA
rnacentral:misc_RNA from 1 species